UUGACCGUCUGCCGCAGGAUCAUAUAUUUCUCCGUGCAAUUCGCUAACAGGGGUCCAUUGUUCAUUCCAGUCAUAGUUUUGCAGAAGAAAAAUACAUUUUAGUGAUUAAAUCAAAAAUGGCUGAAGCAAGUGAAAACUGGGAUGAAGAAGACAGUGUGAUCAACAUUCUCAAAAACUGUAGUAUCCAAAAAACGCGACUGCAACAGUUAGAUGGUAACUCUGAGGAAAGAACAGCAACAGGAAGGACUUUUGUGGAAUUGCCUUGUGGUCAUCGAAGGCCAGCACAUUACAUCAUCGCUUGGUUCAAGUAUUAUCUUAAACAGAGAGAGCCUGAGUUCAGCUGUCCUGCGUUUAAUGAGGGCCGGCGGAGAUCCUGUGGACUGAAGCUGUCUUAUCCGUCCGUCUGUCGACUGAUGUCCAGCAAACAGAGGCAGAUCUUAGAGGAGAACCUCAGUCUUCUCACUGCUAGAAAGCUGUUGGAGUUGGAUUUGAAAACCAUGAAUUCCUCACAGGGAUAGUUUAACACCAAAUCAAAUGACACCUUCAUUCACUUUCACCAGGCUUGAUUUCUGAGUGAACUAUCUCUUUACAGUAUACACAGUUUAGUUAUCUGUCACACUGUAAUCCGAAGCGGUUUCUGAAGUGUCCUGUCCUACGUGGAAAGACGAGAUCAGACAAACCUGUGUGUGCACUGCACCAUCUGCACAGCCACCAACAAACACACAUACUACUUCUGCUGGAGCUGCCGGAGCCUACCCAUAAUGCACUGCGCUGCAGCAACAACAGCUGUGGACAGGAAGCGAUAACUGACGAUUCUUUGGUGCCAUGCACACCUGAAUUUAAAGAGAAGAAGCUUUUAAAAAAAGGCAAUGUUAUUUACCCGAUGAAGGACAAGUCCUCUGACAGAAAACAUUACCUAUGUGGAGUUUGAAUAUGGAGAUGAUCGGGUCGAGAGCGACUGCUGAAGGCUCUCGGUUACACUGUGCACACACUGAGAGACCUCACAGCACAGGUAAUGAUGGAUGUGUGGAUGUCCAGGACGGCACGCCAAAGACCGAGCAACGAGAGAAAGACUUCUGCUGCCUGAGGUCCUCCACUCCCGAUACUGUUUCCUACAGGAAUCCUGACAGAGGCUCAGAUUUCAUCCAAGAUAUCGUGGAGAUAUUUAAAAAGCAUGCUCAUGAGGAUCACAUCGAGGAGCUUUUCAGGAAGCAAUGCCACUAUCAACUACUUUCAGAGAUGUAUUGUUAUAACUCAGCUCUUAGGUCCUGUGCUAAACGUGUGUGGUAUGACCCUUUCUUUUUUGGUUGACUGGUCAGUAUGUGUAGCUGGUCUGUUGAUAGGAGUUUUCCUCUUGUUAACAGGUCCUUCAGAAGAAGUUUAAGGAGCAUCAUCCGUGUCAGAUGCCGUGCAAAGACAGAACAACACUAUCUUAAGAAGUUCUACCUCUUCCCGGGGCUGUGAAACACAACCAGAUCUGAUUACUAUUAUGUCCUCUUAUUUAAGAAUUGUGUGUAGAAAUGAAAAUUAGAAAUUAAAUCCUCAAUAAAAACAUUUCAGUCACACAGUAUAUAUAUAUCAGUGAGAUACCAGUUUUAUUUUCUGUGAACAGCUGUAAAUCUGCAUCACAGUAGUUGACUGGUGAUAGUUGCUUGUUUGACGAAUACAAUACGCUUUCGUAAGAUACAUGGAGAAUUAUAAAUCAGAGCAGAAACUGGUGAACGAACUGAUGACGAAUGAUUCAGUGAUGUCAUCAUCCAGUUCAGCUCUCGUCCAAUAGUGUCCGUGCAAUCAGUCAACUUCGGUGAUAGAAAAUGGAGAGAAACCCUUGGGAUUUCGAUGUCCGAGUACAGACAUUAUAUAAUAUUUAACAGAUCAGCAGUUCCUGUACACAUGUACAUAAACUAUGAUUCACAUUUUAAACUGAAUGCACAUUAAUUAAAACUUUUACAAAUUA